rnacentral:rRNA from 1 species
UACGUAGGGUGCGAGCGUUAAUCGGAAUUACUGGGCGUAAAGCGUGCGCAGGCGGUUUUGUAAGCCAGAUGUGAAAUCCCCCGGCUUAACCUGGGAACUGCGUCUGAUACUGGAGGGCUUGAGUGCGGGAGAGGGAUGUGGAAUUCCAGGUGUAGCGGUGAAAUGCGUAGAUAUCUGGAGGAACACCGGUGGCGAAGGCGGCAUCCUGGACCGACACUGACGCUGAGGCGCGAAAGCUAGGGUAGCAAACGGG